AUUGAACGCUGGCGGAAUGCUUUACACAUGCAAGUCGAGCGGCAGCGCGGGGGGCAACCCUGGCGGCGAGCGGCGAACGGGUGAGUAACAUAUCGGAACGUACCCCGUCGUGGGGGAUAACACAGCGAAAGCUGUGCUAAUACCGCAUACGACCUGAGGGUGAAAGCGGGGGACCGUAAGGCCUCGCGCGAUGGGAGCGGCCGAUAUCGGAUUAGCUUGUUGGUGGGGUAAAGGCUCACCAAGGCGACGAUCCGUAGCUGGUCUGAGAGGACGACCAGCCACACUGGAACUGAGACACGGUCCAGACUCCUACGGGAGGCAGCCAGUGGGGAUUUUGGACAAUGGGGGCAACCCUGAUCCAGCCAUUCCGCGUGAGUGAAGAAGGCCU
rnacentral:rRNA from 1 species